rnacentral:lncRNA from 1 species
ACUGAGGGUGUCACCCGGGACCGCGGCUCAGGAACCCCAGACGCACGGGCCUUGUGCUGUCGCUGCCGUGGCACCCCUUCUAGAAGAAGUGGGAGCCUUGGACAACUGAACGCCUAUCUCUAGCUCAAGAAAUGUCAGCUCUUUUUUUUUUUUUGAGACUGUCACCCAGUCGGGAGUACAGUGGCGCCAUCUUGGCUCUCUGUAACCUCCACCUCCUGGGUUCAAGCGAUUCUCCUGCCUCAGCCUCCUGAGUAGCUGGGGCUACAGUCGUGAAGGGGCCUCGUGACUGGGCCUCAUGCCAAACAACUCAUUACAAAAGGAGCUAUGGUCCCAGACCACAACGAAGCUUCAUGAGACCUCUCCUCAUCUGUGCACGGACAAGUGUCUGACUCUGGAGCCCAGGCUGUUGCUUUCCAGUCUGGUGGUGAAUCCUUCACAGUCUGAAAAUCUAGGUAUCUUGCACCAAGAAGUGGAAAAUAAAGAAGAGAAAUGAGAACCAUGUUUGUAUUGGCUGUCUAUAAAAUAAGAGUUCUAGGUACAUGAAAUCCACUGGUGUGCUGGUAAAUGUUUAAUAACCAGUCCUCUGGAAAGGAGAAAGUUGAAGACCCCAUUUAUACAUUUGCUCAUUUCUGUGGUGUAAAUACCCUGAAAAUAGCUGAUUUCGAGCUAUCAACAUUACUGAAGAUGGAGCUGGGAAGAGGGAGAAGUUAAGUGAAGUUUUCCAACCCACAGCUGGCAGGUAAAACUAAAUUCACAGAAAUUAAAUCCCUCCACUGAUGAAAAAGGCACCAGGCUGUAAAAAGAAGAUUAAUCUAGCAAUCAAAUACCUCGAUGAAUGUGCAGAGUGGCUUGGAAGUGAGCAGUAGUUAAAAACAAAUGUAACAAAAUAUAAGAUGGAAUACUUUACAUCACAGUUUUGGCUGAGGCUCCAAAGACUGAGAAUAAAUCAGUAUCUGCCCAGUCACCACGGUGUGCCAAAGGAGGUGCUGGAUUGCCUCGUCAGGACAUGCUACAUGGAUGGAGAGAAGAUUCCUUGGGGAGAUUUGGUGUGUGCAUAACCAGUCCUUCCAGCACUGGAGAAAGGAGGAGUCCUGCACAGGUUG